GUGAGGAAUAUUGGUCAAUGGGCGCAAGCCUGAACCAGCCAUGCCGCGUGCAGGAAGAAGCAUCUAUGGUGUGUAAACUGCUUUUAUACAGGAAGAAACAACGCUACGUGUAGCGUCUUGACGGUACUGUAAGAAUAAGGACCGGCUAACUCCGUGCCAGCAGCCGCGGUAAUACGGAGGGUCCAAGCGUUAUCCGGAAUCAUUGGGUUUAAAGGGUCCGUAGGCGGCCUUAUAAGUCAGUGGUGAAAUCUCCUAGCUCAACUAGGAAACUGCCAUUGAUACUGUAAGGCUUGAAUUUUUGUGAAGUAACUAGAAUAUGUAGUGUAGCGGUGAAAUGCUUAGAUAUUACAUGGAAUACCAAUUGCGAAGGCAGGUUACUAACAAACGAUUGACGCUGAUGGACGAAAGCGUGGGGAGCGAACAGGAUUAGAUACCCUGGUAGUCC
rnacentral:rRNA from 1 species